UAUGUUUGGUUUUGACGUCUUUUCAAACCUAACGUUUAUAUUUAACAAGGUUUUUGUUCACCCAGGUAUUAAAUACAUCAUCUCCAAAAAAGGGAAUCAAUUGUUACUAUACGAUGAUUAUCCUCACUACAUACGGCGGAGACAGCAGAAUGGUACCAGUCACUGGGUUUGCACGUCAAAUAAAAGUAAAAUGUGUAAAGGGAAAGUUUCUGUUCACAACGAUAUCGUUUUGUUUUAUCAUCCUCAUAAUCAUCCUUCGCCCACAUAUUAUAUUUCUAGGGGAGUGUAUAUCAGAAUUAGUUAAUUCGUUUUUUUCUCGCACUGGCGGAUUUUCCGCACGGUUUUCCCGAGCUACACCGCUCGUUCCAUACGAGUGGUUUUUAACGACAAUUUUGUACGGGUAGUUGUCAAAUGUUUGUAAUAAAUUCAAUUAAGUAAAUAAUGUGAUACCUAUGGAAUAUCCUCCGUUAUUCAGUUUCUGCAGUUACUUUUCGUCAAUAUAUUCAUCAUCAUCUUCCUGCCCUGUUCCCAAGUCAUUUGGGGUCGCCGCAACAUGUCUUUUUCUUCCAUUCCUCUCUGUCAGACGUCUCUGUCGUUCGUCAAUAUAUUAUAAUUGAAAUAUGUAUAACUGUAUUCAUUCGUACCUACUAUGUUAAUUGAUAUCUUCUAUGUUCCUAAGUUAAAUAAUAUCAUAGUUAAAUAAAAUUAAUAUUGUGAUUAUAAAUAGUGUUAAUGUUUGCAUGCCGAAUGGUAAAAUGUGGCUGAGGUUUAUUAUUUUAAGACCUUUGUAUAUACCCAUAUUUGUCUCGAAAACAA